rnacentral:lncRNA from 1 species
GCAUUAUUCUUAUUAAAUUGUCUUGUGCUAAUGGAUAUUUUCUAUCUUGUUUCUAGAAAUUGAAAGAUAUAGUAAAAGAUAUUUGAAAAGUUACAAAGAAGAUGAUUUGGAAUGGGUACCAGAUUGGAGAAGACUUCCAAGGGAGAUGAUGCCAAGGAAAAAACUAACAAAAGGACCCAAACACCAGAAGACAAAAGGUACAGCCAAAGUUGCUAAGGUCAUGAGUACUGUGGAUGUAUUGAAAAAAAUUGAGGUAAGCUUCAGCUACUUGUGAAGCAGUCUCAAUGUUGUGUUGUACUAAAGGAGGGA